rnacentral:tRNA from 3 species
GCGUCGGUGGCAGAGUGGUCAAAUGCACGUGACUGUAGAUCACGCGGACAUUGUCCUACGCAGGUUCGAAUCCUGCCCGGCGCA